rnacentral:rRNA from 1 species
UACGUAGGGUGCGAGCGUUAAUCGGAAUUACUGGGCGUAAAGCGUGCGCAGGCGGUUUUUUAAGACUGUUGUGAAAUCCCCGGGCUUAACCUGGGAACUGCAAUGGAUACUGGCAAGCUAGAGUGUGUCAGAGGAUGGUGGAAUUUCCGGUGUAGCGGUGAAAUGCGUAGAGAUCGGGAGGAACAUCGGUGGCGAAGGCAGCCAUCUGGGACAACACUGACGCUGAAGCACGAAAGCGUGGGGAGCAAACAGG